ACGGAGGGUGCAAGCGUUAUCCGGAAUCACUGGGUUUAAAGGGUGCGUAGGCGGUUCGUUAAGUCAGUUGUGAAAUUCCCCCGCUUAACGGGAGGGACUGCGAUUGAUACUGAUGAACUUGAAUCAGGUUGAGGUGGGCGGAAUGUGACAUGUAGCGGUGAAAUGCAUAGAUAUGUCAUAGAACACCGAUUGCGAAGGCAGCUUGCUGGACCUGUAUUGACGCUGAGGCACGAAAGCGUGGGGAGCAAACAGGAUUAGAUACCCUGGUAGUCCACGCCCUAAACGAUGUUUACUUGCUGUUCGGCCUUCGGGCGGAGUGGCGAAGCGAAAGCGAUAAGUAAACCACCUGGGGAGUACGCCGGCAACGGUG
rnacentral:rRNA from 1 species